rnacentral:tRNA from 1 species
GCAGUGGUAAUUCAGUGGUAGAAUGCUCGCCUUCAGUGAGACCUGGGUUCGAUUCCUGACCAAUACA